CAGCCAAAGCCACCGCCACCCAUGGCGGGUUCAAUCGGGUUUCGUUACAGUUUUACUAUAAGCUCUACAUUGUCGAUCUGUUGCGGGGUAGGGGUAUGGGUACGGAGCGUUUGGCAUUUUCAAUUUCAUGUUUUGUGGCUGGCCAGUCGUUGGCAUUGCCGUUGCCUGGAUUUCUUUGAAGCACGAUAAGCAUUUCUUUUGAAUUCGCUUCGUUGAGGGCGUGUGCGAGCGACUGUGGCCAAAACGAAACAAAAAACAAAAACAAAAGCAACAACAACAACAACAACAACAGCAACAGCAAAAGCAAACAAAAAAUCACAGUUACAUCAAAUUGUUAAUUCGUUUCAUUUUGCACUGUCUCUGCGAUUCGGCAACUCUGGAACUCCGGCAUCAAGCAAACCAAUCCUCCGGCUACCGUUGCUUUGGGGCCAGGUCAAAUUGAAAUAGUGCAGAAAAUCAAUUGACAACGUUUCAGUCGUUGUCGUCGUCGUCGUCGUCAUCGUCGUCGUUGUCGUUGUCGUUGUCGCUGUUCCUGUUGCUGCCGUUGUUCGGUUUUGGGCUAUUUCCUCUACUUGUUGCCACCGAAUUCGUUCUGGCUUGUACCGAGAAAAAUAAACAGAAACAAAACUGAAAGCAUUUCAAUUGUCACAUUAACGCUGGUCGAUCUAUUAGCCAGCCCCUGACAAGAUGCUUGUCUGGACGGGUAAAGGUACUCAAGUUGGAUCUGUUUAUAAAGCGGAAUGCGCUGCACUAGAUAAUCUUGCAUAUCAUUCAGCCGCUCUGCAAGGUUACCCAAUGUAUGACAAAUUCCAUACAGCUAAUUACAUUGAGCAAUCAAAUUUUGUUACAUUUUUAGCUCAGUUAUUGAUAACCAUUCAAGUGGCCAUAUGUGGGUCAAAACUAACCCGAAUGCUGUACACAUUUUUUUGAAAGUUACUUAAAUAAAUCUACCACUUAAAUAUUAACAUUUUUGCAUAUCCUUUUGUAUAUAUUUUCAUUGUCUUUUGUUAUAUUUGUUUAUUUAAAAUGCUUCAUUGAUAAUGAACAUUCUGAUCACAGGCCGAUGGCAAGGUGUACCUCAGCAACCUCUCCACUGCUGGAAAUUAGUGUACUCAAUCAGCCAGCUCCAUCGGCGGAGAGAUUCCGCUUUUCCCAUGACUGACACAUGGCUGCUCGCCCACUCUUGCCACCGUUUUGGCCAUGAAAGUUUUCGCGUUGUCUGUGUUUU
rnacentral:lncRNA from 1 species